rnacentral:rRNA from 1 species
GACGAACGCUGGCGGCGUGCCUAACACAUGCAAGUCGAACGGAAAGUCCCGGCUUUGGUGGGCUGCUCGAGGGGCGAACGGGUGAGUAACACGUGAGUACCCUACCAUUGACUGUGGGAGAACUUAAUGAAACUGGGGCUAAUACGGGCUAGGAGCUCCUGCUGCAUGGUGGGGGUGGGAAAGUUUCGGCGGUUGGGGAUGGACUCGCGGCUUAUGAGCUUGUUGGUGGGGUAGUGGAUUACCAAGCCUUUGAGGGGUAGCCGGCCUGAGAGGGUGACCGGCCACGUUAGGCCUGAGAUGCGGCACGGACCACUACCGGACGCAGGAGAGCGGUAUGGUGCACUAUGGGCGGAAGCCUGAUGUAGCCCCGCAGUGUGCGGGAUGACGGCCAUGGGGUAGGAAUCCGAUGUCGCCUGUGCCGAAGCGAGAGUGACGGUAAUGGGUAAAGAAGCACCGGCUAACUACGUG